rnacentral:rRNA from 1 species
GCCGAGCGGUAGAGAUCUUUCGGGAUCUUGAGAGCGGCGUACGGGUGCGGAACACGUGUGCAACCUGCCUUUAUCUGGGGGAUAGCCUUUCGAAAGGAAGAUUAAUACCCCAUAAUAUACUGAAUGGCAUCAUUCGGUAUUGAAAACUCCGGUGGAUAGAGAUGGGCACGCGCAAGAUUAGAUAGUUGGUGAGGUAACGGCUCACCAAGUCUACGAUCUUUAGGGGGCCUGAGAGGGUGAUCCCCCACACUGGUACUGAGACACGGACCAGACUCCUACGGGAGGCAGCAGUGAGGAAUAUUGGACAAUGGGUGAGAGCCUGAUCCAGCCAUCCCGCGUGAAGGACGACGGCCCUAUGGGUUGUAAACUUCUUUUGUAUAGGGAUAAACCUACCCUCGUGAGGGUAGCUGAAGGUACUAUACGAAUAAGCACCGGCUAACUCCGUGCCAGCAGCCGCGGUAAUACGGAGGGUGCAAGCGUUAUCCGGAUUUAUUGGGUUUAAAGGGUCCGUAGGCGGAUCUGUAAGUCAGUGGUGAAAUCUCACAGCUUAACUGUGAAACUGCCAUUGAUACUGCAGGUCUUGAGUGUUGUUGAAGUAGCUGGAAUAAGUAGUGUAGCGGUGAAAUGCAUAGAUAUUACUUAGAACACCAAUUGCGAAGGCAGGUUACUAAGCAACAACUGACGCUGAUGGACGAAAGCGUGGGGAGCGAACAGGAUUAGAUACCCUGGUAGUCCACGCCGUAAACGAUGCUAACUCGUUUUUGGAAUGUAAGUUUCAGAGACUAAGCGAAAGUGAUAAGUUAGCCACCUGGGGAGUACGAACGCAAGUUUGAAACUCAAAGGAAUUGACGGGGGCCCGCACAAGCGGUGGAUUAUGUGGUUUAAUUCGAUGAUACGCGAGGAACCUUACCAAGGCUUAAAUGGGAAAUGACAGGUUUAGAAAUAGACUUUUCUUCGGACAUUUUUCAAGGUGCUGCAUGGUUGUCGUCAGCUCGUGCCGUGAGGUGUUAGGUUAAGUCCUGCAACGAGCGCAACCCCUGUCACUAGUUGCCAUCAUUAAGUUGGGGACUCUAGUGAGACUGCCUACGCAAGUAGAGAGGAAGGUGGGGAUGACGUCAAAUCAUCACGGCCCUUACGCCUUGGGCCACACACGUAAUACAAUGGCCGGUACAGAGGGCAGCUACACUGCGAAGUGAUGCAAAUCUCGAAAGCCGGUCUCAGUUCGGAUUGGAGUCUGCAACUCGACUCUAUGAAGCUGGAAUCGCUAGUAAUCGCGCAUCAGCCAUGGCGCGGUGAAUACGUUCCCGGGCCUUGUACACACCGCCCGUCAAGCCAUGGAAGUCUGGGGUACCUGAAGUCGGUGACCGUAACAGGAG